UGAAUACGAGACGCUACGGCGUCGAAGCAGUCUAUGUCAUACUUCCAAGAAAAGCUUGCACUGUCAUAAACAAAUAAUGCCUGUACCAUAACCGACACAGGUGGGUAGGUAGAGUAUACUAAGGGGCGCGAGAUAACUCUCUCUAAGGAACUCGGCAAAAUGACUCCGUAACUUCGGGAGAAGGAGUGCCUUAUUUAUAAGGUUGCAAUAACAAGAUCCAAGCAACUGUUUACCAAAAACACAGGUCUCCGCUAAGUCGUAAGACGAUGUAUGGGGGCUGACGCCUGCCCAGUGCCAGAAGGUUAAAGAAGUCGGUUAGCAUUAGCGAAGCUGGUAACUGAAGCCCUGGUGAACGGCGGCCGUAACUAUAACGGUCCCAAGGUAGCGAAAUUCCUUGUCGGGUAAGUUCCGACCCGCACGAAAGGCGUAAUGAUUUGGAUACUGUCUCGGAGAGGGACUCGGUGAAAUAGACUUGUCUGUGAAGAUGCGGACUACCUGCACCAGGACAGAAAGACCCUAUGAAGCUUUACUGUAACUUGAAAUUGAAAUUGGACUUUAUUUGCGCAGUAUAGGUGGGAGGUGUUGAGAGUAUUCUUGCGGGAAUAUUGGAGCCAUCAGUGAGAUACCACUCUUGUAAUGUUAGAUUUCUAACUUUGUAUCAUUAUCUGGUCAAAGGACAGUUUCAGGCGGGCAGUUUGACUGGGGCGGUCGCCUCCUAAACGGUAACGGAGGCGCACAAAGGUUUCCUCUGAACGGGUAGAAAUCGUAUCUAGAGUGUAAAGGCAUAAGGAAGCUUGACUGUGAGACCUACAAGUCGAGCAGGGACGAAAGUCGGUCUUAGUGAUCUGACGGUGCUGAGUGGAAAGGCCGUCACUCAACGGAUAAAAGUUACUCUAGGAUAACAGGCUGAUCUCCCCCAAGAGUUCACAUCGACGGGGAGGUUUGGCACCUCGAUGUCGGCUCAUCGCAUCCUGGGGCGGUAGUACGUCCCAAGGGUUGGGCUGUUCGCCCAUGAAAGCGGUACGCGAGCUGGGUUCAGAACGUCGUGAGACAGUUCGGUCCAUAUCCGGUGUAGGCGUUAGAAUAUUGAGAGGAGCCUUCUUUAGUACGAGAGGACCGAGAAGGACAUACCUCUGGUGUACCAGUUAUCGUGCCAACGGUAAACGCUGGGUAGCUAUGUAUGGAGAGGAUAACCGCUGAAAGCAUCUAAGUGGGAAGCCCACCUCAAGAUAAG
rnacentral:rRNA from 1 species